rnacentral:rRNA from 1 species
UGGUGGCGACCGGCUCACGGGUGAGUAACGCGUAUGCAACCUUUCUAUCAGAGGGGAAUAACCCGGCGAAAGUCGGACUAAUACCGCAUAAAACAGGGACACCGCAUGGUGAUAUUUGUUAAAGAAAUUCGCUGAUAGAUGGGCAUGCGUUCCAUUAGGUAGUUGGUGAGGUAACGGCUCACCAAGCCGACGAUGGAUAGGGGAACUGAGAGGUUGGUCCCCCACACUGGUACUGAGACACGGACCAGACUCCUACGGGAGGCAGCAGUGAGGAAUAUUGGUCAAUGGGCGAGAGCCUGAACCAGCCAAGUCGCGUGAAGGAAGAAGGAUCUAUGGUUCGUAAACUUCUUUUGCAGGGGAAUAAAGUGCAGGACGUGUCCUGUUUUGUAUGUACCCUGAGAAUAAGGAUCGGCUAACUCCGUGCCAGCAGCCGCGGUAAUACGGAGGAUCCGAGCGUUAUCCGGAUUUAUUGGGUUUAAAGGGUGCGUAGGUGGUUUGAUAAGUCAGCGGUGAAAGUUUGCAGCUUAACUGUAAAAAUGCCGUUGAAACUGUCGGACUUGAGUGUAAAUGAGGUAGGCGGAAUGCGUGGUGUAGCGGUGAAAUGCUUAGAUAUCACGAAGAACUCCGAUUG